rnacentral:rRNA from 1 species
UCUGUCUUCAGGUUCGGGACAACCACUGGAAACGGUGGCUAAUACCGAAUGUGCCCUUCGGGGUGAAAGAUUAAUUGCCUGAAGAUGAGCUCGCGUCUGAUUAGCUAGUAGGUGUGGUAAGAGCGCACCUAGGCGACGAUCAGUAGCUGGUCUGAGAGGAUGAUCAGCCACACUGGGACUGAGACACGGCCCAGACUCCUACGGGAGGCAGCAGUGGGGAAUUUUCCGCAAUGGGCGAAAGCCUGACGGAGCAAUACCGCGUGAGGGAGGAAGGCUCUUGGGUCGUAAACCUCUUUUCUCAGGGAAUAAAAAAAUGAAGGUACCUGAGGAAUCAGCAUCGGCUAACUCCGUGCCAGCAGCCGCGGUAAUACGGAGGAUGCAAGCGUUAUCCGGAAUGAUUGGGCGUAAAGCGUCCGCAGGUGGCUGUGUAAGUCUGCUGUUAAAGAGUGAGGCUCAACCUCAUAAGAGCAGUGGAAACUACACGGCUAGAGUGCGUUCGGGGCAGAGGGAAUUCCUGGUGUAGCGGUGAAAUGCGUAGAGAUCAGGAAGAACACCGGUGGCGAAAGCGCUCUGCUAGGCCGCAACUGACACUGAGGUACGGAAGC